rnacentral:rRNA from 1 species
CAGCAGCCGCGGUAAUACGGAGGGUGCAAGCGUUAAUCGGAAUUACUGGGCGUAAAGCGCACGCAGGCGGUUUGUUAAGUCAGAUGUGAAAUCCCCGAGCUUAACUUGGGAACUGCAUUUGAAACUGGCAAGCUAGAGUCUUGUAGAGGGGGGUAGAAUUCCAGGUGUAGCGGUGAAAUGCGUAGAGAUCUGGAGGAAUACCGGUGGCGAAGGCGGCCCCCUGGACAAAGACUGACGCUCAGGUGCGAAAGCGUGGGGAGCAAACAGGAUUAGAUACCCGUGUAUUCCCUGUCUCUUAUAC